rnacentral:rRNA from 1 species
AGUGAACGCUGGCGGUAGGCCUAACACAUGCAAGUCGAACGGCAGCACAGUAAGAGCUUGCUCUUACGGGUGGCGAGUGGCGGACGGGUGAGGAAUACAUCGGAAUCUACUUUUUCGUGGGGGAUAACGUAGGGAAACUUACGCUAAUACCGCAUACGACCUACGGGUGAAAGCAGGGGAUCUUCGGACCUUGCGCGACUGAAUGAGCCGAUGUCGGAUUAGCUAGUUGGCGGGGUAAAGGCCCACCAAGGCGACGAUCCGUAGCUGGUCUGAGAGGAUGAUCAGCCACACUGGAACUGAUACACGGUCCAGACUCCUACGGGAGGCAGCAGUGGGGAAUAUUGGACAAUGGGCGCAAGCCUGAUCCAGCCAUACCGCGUGGGUGAAGAAGGCCUUCGGGUUGUAAAGCCCUUUUGUUGGGAAAGAAAAGCAGCAGGUUAAUACCCCGCUGUUCUGACGGUACCCAAAGAAUAAGCACCGGCUAACUUCGUG